UCCGUCUGAAGGACUUUACUACUGACAGAGAGGACCAGAGACGGUGUGAUAGCAGUACCCUGUGGUUAGUAAGGGUCUGAUAACAGACCGAGUCUUUGGCCUCAGAGAGGAGGCAACCAUGCCAGGCUGGGCCAUAACAGAGAAAUAAAAUGGCCGAUGAGUGAGAGGGGGAUCGAAGAGAGAGAUGGAGGUUACCUGACGUUUCAUCCACYAUCACCAGCUUUGUACAUAACUAUAUUUAUUUGUUUAUGUGGURUUCUUUGAUGUCCCUGUAGUCUCACUCUGGGAUUUGUUUGUUAGUUUUAUCCUUCAGACAGGAAUGUUUGGCCUGACACUUAGUGUGUGACAAUCAUCUUUAUGUAUUUAUGUGAAAAUACAACUUUCAUUUUCGGGAAAACAUUUUCAGUAGACAUUUUAGUGUGUGUUAACAACAUAUAUACUUUGUUUUAGUUAUUUCAAUAAAUAUAUGAAAAAUAUUUUUUUUUCAUGUUUUUUGAGGGGGGACUAGUGAGUCAAAUAUUGUCAUUCACAUUUCUAUAUUACAUCUAAAUGCAUUAUUAUAACUUCUAUAUUAUGUAUUUCAUGCAUAGUGCAGCAGUACUGUAGUUUAUGCAUUGUGAAUGUCUGCCCCCUGGUGGUGAGUCACAUGAUAGACCAACAAGUGCUGGGAGAAAAGGCAGAUGUUCAUGUUCAUGUUUGCUAUUAAAGAAAUGAGCAACGUAUAAUGUUCUUGGGGGAGAAAUGUAACCUACACCACUAGAAUUGAGUUGUAUCUCAAAUGUCCAUGAAAACGUCAUAAGACAUAAGUGUCACAAAUGUCAUAAGACAUCACCAUCAGUCAAUAAUCUCUCUGGUCCAGUGGUACCACUUUAAUGGAAUGGCAGCUGCAGUAUGUAUUACAAUGCACAGAGGAUAGAUCAGGGGAGUCCAUUAAAACAUAAAGCAGCCUGUUCAGCACUAUUAUCAGGCCAUAGUAAUGGCUGGGAUGGAAUGGUAUUAAACAAAUAAAACACCUGAUUUUUCGUGUUAGUUACCCUUCAGUUCUAUCCAUUAUUGAGGCGUCCUCUCCUCACCAGCCUCCUCUGGUCCCAAUCAUACACACAACUCAUUAGAUUCAAACACACUUCUGAAGCUGUUCACAUUUGAUUGGAGGAACAUUGCUACAAUCAUCCAUACAUCUCUAGCCUGGUCCCACAUCUGUAGGUGCUUUAGAUAACUCCACUGAUGAUUCAUAUGGGCCUGGGUACCAUACCAGUCUGUUUCUGC
rnacentral:lncRNA from 1 species